rnacentral:rRNA from 1 species
GACGAACGCUGGCGGCGUGCUUAACACAUGCAAGUCGAACGAUGAAGCCGGAGCUUGCUCUGGUGAAUUAGUGGCGAACGGGUGAGUAACACGUGAGUAACCUGCCCUUGACUCUGGGAUAACUGCGGGAAACUGUAGCUAAUACCGGAUACGACCCUCGGAGGCAUCUCCUGGGGGUGGAAAGAAUUUCGGUCAAGGAUGGACUCGCGGCCUAUCAGCUAGUUUGUGAGGUAAAGGCUCACCAAGGCGACGACGGGUAGCCGGCCUGAGAGGGUGACCGGCCACAUUGGGACUGAGACACGGCCCAGACUCCUACGGGAGGCAGCAGUGGGGAAUAUUGCACAAUGGGCGCAAGCCUGAUGCAGCAACGCCGCGUGAGGGAUGACGGCCUUCGGGUUGUAAACCUCUUUUAGCAGGGAAGAAGCGAAAGUGACGGUACCUGCAGAAAAAGCACCGGCUAACUACGUGCCAGCAGCCGCGGUAA